rnacentral:rRNA from 1 species
UACGUAGGGUGCAAGCGUUGUCCGGAAUUAUUGGGCGUAAAGAGCUCGUAGGCGGCUUGUCGCGUCGAAUGUGAAAACCCGGGGCUCAACCCCGGGCCUGCAUUCGAUACGGGCAGACUAGAGUUCGGUAGGGGAGUCUGGAAUUCCUGGUGUAGCGGUGAAAUGCACAGAUAUCAGGAGGAACACCGGUGGCGAAGGCGGGACUCUGGGCCGAUACUGACGCUGAGGAGCGAAAGCGUGGGGAGCAAACAGG